GCCACAGUGGUGAAGUGGUAGCACGCGCCCACGAUAUGGGUGAAAGGCGGGUUCAACUCCCGCCUGAGAUCA